GGUGAUUGUUUGGUGCUGAUACAACAUUGACUUUUCCCAUAAUUUAGCUUAGAGUGUUUUACACUGGGGAGUUCCAAUGUGUUUAAAUUGUAAAACUUUUUCCGAGCAUUUUUGUAGCAGAACUCCAUGUUCUAAUAGCCCCGGCAAAGUUGUUUUUAAUACUUUUUCUCUACGAAUUUUCAUUAAAAUUUAAUUCCAUUUUAACUUUGUCAAUUUUCCCCAAAGAUAAAUUAAGACACACAGAGAGAUUGUCAUUUCCUGUUUGAAGUCUCAUUCCUGUGUACAAUGUCAGUCUUUUUUAUUUAGGCCUAUGCCAUUCCAUCAGGGUAAAUAACUUUCUAACUAGUCAUUUAAGAGCAACUCCCGGGAAACUGUGAUGCAAUCCCACAUAUCAGCCAGCAUACUUUGUGCAGAAUGAAUUGUUAAGUGCAUCUAUAGAAAACGAAUGAUUGGUAUUCAGCCAAGCUUUGCCUAUGUCUUUCCAUGACCAAAAACAAGUCAGACUUCAAAAGCUGCCAGAUUAUUGUGAAAGGAGAAACACUGUUUUCGAAGGCUGCUGAUAAUGCCUAUUAGCCAGAAGAAAGAGCCUGAAUCAUUCAAAGGUUUUCCAUCUAGUAAAGAAGUGUGGUAAAAAUCUUGCCCAGAUCUGCAUGUGCUAAGCAUCUACGUAAGUUGGAGCAUCAUAUUAAUGACACCCAGUGAAGAAACGAAAGAAUGAAGUGUAAUUACUAUAUCAAAAAUCCACAGAAUGUGAAAGUAUAAAGGAAAACUCUCAGGUGAGACUCGAUUAUUUUUAUUUCAAAGAUCUAGGUAAAAAUGUGAACAGAUUGGGAGGCUGAGGCAGGAGAAUCACUUGAACCCAGGAGGCAGAAGUUGCAGUGAGCCAAGAUUGCACCAUUGGACUCCAGCCUGGGCAACAGACAAGACUCUAUCUCAAAAAAAAAAUGUGAACAGAUAUAUUGACAUAAAAUUCAUAAAACAUAUGGAUAUACUAAAAACUAGGAAGUCUGGUUGCUUCUGAGGAUAAGAGUUGAGGACCUGUUUCAAGAAUACUUUGCACAGCUUGUACUAUUGCAGUAUUUGAAUUUUUUCUUGUACAUGUAUAACUUUUUUAAAAAGAAUGAGAAAUGCUGUACAAGUGCAACUAUUUUUACUGUAAGUUUUUAUUUCCAUAAAACUAUAAUUAAGUGUGUGGUCAAUAGAUCCUGUUAUAUAGCUAUGAUAUCCCUUGAAUUUGUUUACCUGGUAACACUAGCUCACGUUUGUAAAUCCUUUGGAACUCCCAAAGCGAUUUUACAUACAUUACCUAAUUUGUAAGAUUACAAAACUAUUACAUUAGCUUUUCUGGUUUUCUUGUCUUAAUACGUGAUUAUCAUAUUAAACUGCAGUGUUUUUUUUUUUCC
rnacentral:lncRNA from 1 species